rnacentral:rRNA from 1 species
CGGGCAGAUUAACUUUGUGACUGAGCGGCGGACGGGUGAGUAACGCGUGGGUAACCUACCUCAUACAGGGGGAUAACAGUUAGAAAUGACUGCUAAUACCGCAUAAGACCACAGUAUCGCAUGAUACAGUGGUAAAAACUCCGGUGGUAUGAGAUGGACCCGCGUCUGAUUAGCUAGUUGGUAAGGUAACGGCUUACCAAGGCGACGAUCAGUAGCCGACCUGAGAGGGUGACCGGCCACAUUGGGACUGAGACACGGCCCAAACUCCUACGGGAGGCAGCAGUGGGGAAUGUUGCACAAUGGGCGAAAGCCUGAUGCAGCGACGCCGCGUGAAGGAAGACGUAUUUCGGUAUGUAAACUUCUAUCAGCAGGGAAGAAAAUGACGGUACCUGACUAAGAAGCCCCGGCUAACUACGUGCCAGCAGCCGCGGUAAUACGUAGGGGGCAAGCGUUAUCCGGAUUUACUGGGUGUAAAGGGAGCGUAGACGGCUGUGUAAGUCAGAUGUGAAAACCCAAGGCUCAACCUUGGGACUGCAUUUGAAACUGUGCAGCUGGAGUAUCGGAGAGGUAAGUGGAAUUCCUAGUGUAGCGGUGAAAUGCGUAGAUAUUAGGAGGAACACCAGUGGCGAAGGCGGCUUACUGGACGAUUACUGACGUUGAGGCUCGAAAGCGUGGGGAGCAAAUAGGAUUAGAUACCCUAGUAGUCCACGCCGUAAACGAUGAGUACUAAGUGUUGGGGUAACCCAGUGCUGAAGCAAACGCAUUAAGUACUCCGCCUGGGGAGUAUGCACGCAAGUGUGAAACUCAAAGGAAUUGACGGAAUCACUA